rnacentral:rRNA from 1 species
AGAUUGAACGCUGGCGGCAGGCUUAACACAUGCAAGUCGAGCGGUAACAGGAGAAGCUUGCUUCUCGCUGACGAGCGGCGGACGGGUGAGUAAUACUUAGGAAUCUACCUAGUAGUGGGGGAUAGCUCGGGGAAACUCGAAUUAAUACCGCAUACGACCUACGGGAGAAAGGGGGCAACUUGUUGCUCUCGCUAUUAGAUGAGCCUAAGUCGGAUUAGCUAGAUGGUGGGGUAAAGGCCUACCAUGGCGACGAUCUGUAGCUGGUCUGAGAGGAUGAUCAGCCACACCGGGACUGAGACACGGCCCGGACUCCUACGGGAGGCAGCAGUGGGGAAUAUUGGACAAUGGGGGCAACCCUGAUCCAGCCAUGCCGCGUGUGUGAAGAAGGCCUUUUGGUUGUAAAGCACUUUAAGCAGUGAAGAAGACUCCAUGGUUAAUACCCAUGGACGAUGACAUUAGCUGCAGAAUAAGCACCGGCUAACUCUGUGCCAGCAGCCGCGGUAAUACAGAGGGUGCAAGCGUUAAUCGGAAUUACUGGGCGUAAAGCGAGCGUAGGUGGCUUGAUAAGUCAGAUGUGAAAGCCCCGGGCUUAACCUGGGAACGGCAUCUGAUACUGUUAGGCUAGAGUAGGUGAGAGGAAGGUAGAAUUCCAGGUGUAGCGGUGAAAUGCGUAGAGAUCUGGAGGAAUACCGAUGGCGAAGGCAGCCUUCUGGCAUCAUACUGACACUGAGGUUCGAAAGCGUGGGUAGCAAACAGGAUUAGAUACCCUGGUAGUCCACGCCGUAAACGAUGUCUACUAGUCGUUGGGUCCCUUGAGGACUUAGUGACGCAGCUAACGCAAUAAGUAGACCGCCUGGGGAGUAC